AUUGUUGGGUUAUGAUAAAUUAGAUAAGAUAAUAGGUUAUAAUUAGUCAACUGUCGACUGAAAUGAGCAAAAAUGCGUGAAUGGAGCGUGGGUAUCUUUUGCUCGUGGAACAUGCCGGUCUUCACCACGACAUAAUAGCAUUCAAUUCAAACAGCUAUCAGUACCUUUAAGGUCAAGGUCGCCGACCUGUGUGAGGUCAUUCUUUUUUUCAAGUUGGUGACUUAAGCGUCUUUUCUGCUCAAUUACAGAUGGAAAAUCAACAGUACUGCCUCAAGUGGAACAACUUCUCCCAGCACCUGAAGUAUGCCUUCAACACCAUCUGGAGCAAUGACGACUCCUUCACAGAUGUCACCCUGGCCAUCCAGGGUGGCUUCAAGAUGCGGGGCCAUAAAAUGGUCCUUUCUGCAUGCUCCUACUACUUCAAGAAGCUGCUGGUGGCGGACACCUCCGAGUCCCCGGUGCUGAUCCUGCACGACGUUUCACGGGCCGAGCUGGAGGCCCUGGUGCACUUCAUGUACCACGGCGAGGUGAACGUGACGCAGGAGGUGAUACCGGGCCUGCUGAAGGCGGCCGAGAUGCUGCAGAUCCGCGGACUGUGCGCCGCGCCCCCGCCCAGCGCCAACAAGCAGUCGUCCGCCAGCACGACCAGCACGCCGACCAGCACGGCCAGCCGGCCACUGAAGCGGAUCGCCCCUGCGCCGCCCGCCUCCGAGCCGCCGACGGCCUCCCCGGCCGCCAAAAAGGCGCGCAAGAAGGCGCCACCAUCCGCGCCCCCUCCCCUGGCACCGGCUCCGGCGGACGGCCGGGGCCGCAGCAGCGUGGAGAGCGAGGAGUCACGAGACACCAACGGCGUCGGAGGCGGCAGCGACACCGAGGGCGACGGUCAGCUGAGGAUUGACGAGGAGUCCAACGGCCUGGAGCCGGAGACGCUGCUGGAUGAACAGGAGGCCGAGGGCGACGGCUGGUCGCAGGGCAGCGGCGCCACCGAGGACCAGCUGCUGUACCCGCUGCCGCGGCCCGAGCCGGACGCUGACGCGGCGCCCAGUCCCGAGGGCUUCACAUUCUCAUCGCAGCUCAGAAACCUCGCCGUCAAAGUCAAACUAGAGCCGAGGGUGCCCAAUGAUCUGGAGGCGGCAAUAGUAUCGUCAAUGCCAAAGAACGCCCGGCGCCGGCGCCGGUGCCGACCGCUGCCCGGGUACGUGCCUUUGGUGGUGCCCCGACCGGUGAAGCGGGCCUUCCCGCCGCUCCAGCGCCGUUCGCCAGCAGCUGGUGCCGGCCGCGCCGCACAAACCCGGCCCCGCGGCCGGCCGCCGAAACACCUGCGUACGUCUUUAUGAAGAGCAAUUGCGCUCGUGAAAACGCUAGCAUUUCUUGAUUCGUUCGUGAUUCAUUAUCAAAUAUGCACGCAUGAAGACGUGCAAAGGCUGCUUGAUUAUCGUAACGUUGUGUAUAUCCUUGAAACGGGCGCGAGUGUGUCAUGCUGUUUCCUGUUCCGUGAUGUUCCUAUGUGUUACGGCGCUGUUCCGCGGUCCGUCCUACGGUGUGUUGCCAUGCUCGGUGGUACCGGCUGGAUGGUGUGCGCUAUGCCUGGUCCUAAUUGUAACGUACCCGGCCGACCGCUCUUCGUGGCAGCGCGGCCCGGGAACGCGGACCGACCGAGUGACGACGGCGGCUGCCGGCCGUCCACCGAGACCUGUCCUUGGCCCACCUCUGGUACCCCACUCGCCCGAUCCUCAUCCUGUCCGGCGCCCCCGCUAGGCGGCCACAUCUCCCUCCCAUCAGGCACCACAAUCACUAGGUCCAUCUCCUGCGCGGCGCCCCCGCUAGGCGUCCACAGCUCGCCAUCUUCCUGCUCCACACUCACUCGGUCCACGGCGCCCAUCACGGUGCCCCCGCCAUGCACCUACACCCCACCCUCCUUCGGCAACACACACACCCGGCUCACCCCGGCGCCCCUGUCAGACGCCCACACCCCGCUCUAUUCCGAUACCUCAUUCACUUGGUCCACCCUGACACCCCGUCUGGCGCCUCCACUAGGCAAUCAACUCUGUCCCGACGCUCAGUCCUCCAACUGCAACGCGCUGUUUGGCGUUCUUCUAGGUCCCUGGCCUGUACUUAUCGCUGAUACGACACUCACUUGGUGUACUCUGAGGCCACGUGCAGCAUCGCCAGGGAUCCGGCUUCCGCCCGCCUCCGACUCUGCACUCCCGCAGGCCCCUCCAACCUUUCCGGCCUCGCCGACACCCUGCACAUCGCCCCCACCAGACGCUCGAACCCAGCCUACUGCUGGCUCUGCAAAGGCACUCUCUUUGUCCUCCCGGGCGCCCUGUGCGGCAGCGCCGUUUGAGGCCUCCCUUCUAUCCAUCCCUGUCUCACUGCCCACUUUGUCUGUCCCGGAGCUCUAUGUGAAGGCGCCGUCAGGGGUCCUCUGUAUCACGAAACAGACUCAGCCCACCCCUGCGCAUUGUCCGAUGGUCUCGUCAGGGGCCCGUCCUCCAUCCAACUCUGUCACAGCACGCUCUGUGUCCGUCCCGGCGGCCUGUCCGAUGGUUUCACCAGGGGCUCACUUCGUAAUCACUUCUGUCGCGCCACAUACUCAGUCCACCUCGACACACCGUACGGCGCUCUCGCGAGGGACCCGCCAGCCAUCCACCUGCGCCACGACACAGACUCGGUCCACCCCGGCGCCCCAUGCGGUGCUCCCGUCAAAGAACCAUGCCUUAUUCACUCCCACCUCGCCACAAACUCUGCACUCCCCGGUGCGCUGUGCAGUGUUUACGCUGGGAACCCACCCUCAAUCCACCUGUACCUCAACUCCAACCCGAUCCACUCUCUCUUCCUGUACGUCGAUCUCGCCGAGACCCUCCGUAAGGCGCCAUCGGCGGCGCGCGACCGCCGAGCGUCCGCGCGUGCUUGUGCUCCUGAGCAGCAACGUGCGGCUGCGUGUCACUCCUGCUCCUGCUCCUGGCGCCCGGCGGGCUGCCAUGGUGCCGCCGUCGCCUCCUGCUCCUCACAGCGGACCGCAGUUGUGGACCCCCUCUCGUGCGGCUGCGGCGCUACAUUCCGCACCAAACACGAAAUGUAUGUGCACAAGAAAAACGGCCACCAGAACAGCUAAGUGCCGCCGCUGUGGGAAGCUCGCCAGGGUGACACUGAGCGGCGUGCGGGCCUGCGGGGCUGAGUGCCCCGGACGGCCGGUCUUCCCGGGACCGAUCUUGGUGCCCGGCUCUGAACGAACUCUGGUGUCCAGCCCUUGACACACUCUAGUGGCUGGAGGUACUCCGCGAAUCCUCGGCGACGCAGUGACUGUGUGCGCGCGGCGAGUACCUUACGUGUGCUCCGGCGUCUCUGUGUUGGUGUGUGGGGGCAGCCGGGUGCUCCGGGCAGGGCAGACGGCCGCUCCGGUCCCGGCGCCGGGGGCUGCUCUGGAGCAGCUCGAACGCUAGCCCGCGAGGCGUCUAGCGUCGAUAUCGACUAUCGGUACUACCCGUGCUGAACUAUCGGUACGGCCAAUACCGACUUGGAUCUCCGCCUCCGCGGAAACAUUCUUAUGAAAGCGCGAGUGUGGGCGUAUAUGCGUGAGGCGUGCGUGUGUGUUGGUGCGUGUGCUUGUGUGUUUAGCUGGUAACUAUACGUGCAGGCAGGAUACAUGUGUGCAUUGGACGCAGCUGUCGGCGAGGAGGUGAUGUGUCUCACGAAGCGCGGUGUUGGCUCGCUCAGACCCACGCGGUGGUACGUUUCGCUCAGCUCCAGCGCCGUGACGAGGUUCGCCGCCGCAGAACCACCGAAUCCCGCGCCCCGCGAUCGCGUAGUUCUUCGUUUCUCAUUCAUUGUCAAUACAGCAUCGAAACAAA